AUAAUAUUUAUAAAAUACUUAACUUCUUUAGAAGGAAAAUCCCCGCCAAGUCCAAUGUGUAUACUAUUAUCAUUGACUCUCCCCAACCCCAUCAAUCACACAUGAUUCGUUAGCUGGUGUUUUCUCUCUCAGCAGCUGCAUUUUUAACCCUUUUUUUUUCCCCCAUUAAAGUAUUCCAGGAAGUUGAGAUGAAUACUAUUCCGUGUGAACCUCACACCUUCUUUAAAAAUCGCAGCGUGUUCUACACUAAUUAAAAAGGCGAUAUUUUUUUUAAUCCUCCCAACAUCUCACUGAGAUAGGGGAGGGAUGCUAUUAUUAUCCUAAUUUUGCAGCUAGGGAAACUGACACAGAGACACUCACUCACUCAGCACUAGAUGGAGGAUGAUAAUAGAUGUAGAAAUUGAAUCUUUUGGUUUCUAUUCUUAAGCUGAUGAUUCACAAUAAAAAUCACACUUGAGAAUGCAAUAAACUCUUCUGAAUCUGUGGAGGUAAAAAAAACAACAACACUUUUUUCUCUCCCCUAAACAAUGUUACACUCUAGAAAUAAAACAUUGACCAUGAAGCUGUUCAGACAGUAAUUUGCAACAGUAAAGUUGCCAGAUUGUACUGCCUAUUACAGAAAGCAUGUGAAGGGAGCUGAAGGGGCUGGUAAUCCCCUUCCUCGGGGCCUUUAGCCUGAAGUCUCAAAGCAUGGCUUGGUCUGCAGGCUUGUACUUAGCUGUUUAGUUGCGUCAGACUCUUUGCGACCCCAUGGACUGUAGCCCUCCAGGCUCCUCUGCCGGUGGGAUUUCCCAGGCAAGAACUCUGGAGUGGGUUGCCAUUUCCUUCUCUAAGAGAUCUUCCCGAGCCAGGGAUUGAACCCCCAUCUCUUGUGUCUCCUGCAUCGGCAGGCUGAUUCUUUACUACUGCACCACCUGGAAAACUCCGUAUGGGGCUGUGAUUCCUACAUCAGGCUGAAAUCAUGCUUGUUUGACAUGCUAACAUUAAAGCCCUUUUCUGUUGCAUUGGCGCAUAAUUUUGCCUUAUUUUUCUCAGCGAUGAAAACAAGUUGCCCAUGCUAAAAACAGACUAAUAAAGUACAGCUGAUUUCUUUAUUAGUUAUUCAAAUACUUAUUGAGCCCUGAUGACAUACCAAGCCCCUGGAUGUUGGAGAGACCAAGAUGAACAAGAGAAGCUGAGUCUCCUCCCUCACAGAGACUACAUCAAAGUAGGAGUCACCAUAAGCAAACAGCAAACAGAAUAAUUAAAAGCAUCUGCUGUUCCUAUCUGAUGAGUUACAGGCAUUGUUUAGUCACUAAGUCCCAUCCAAAUCUUUUGUGACCCCAUGGACUGUAGUCCGUCAGGCUCUUCUGUCCAUGGGAAUCUCUAGUCAAGAAUACUGGAGUGGGUUGCCAUUUCUUUCUCCAGGGGAGCUUCCCCAUCCAGGGAUCGAACCCAUGUCUCCUGCAUUGGCAGGUGGAUUCUUUACCACUGAGCCACCUGGGAAGCCCAUCAUGAUGGGCUGAGGUCCAUGAAGUAAAUAGAGCCGAGUGGAGUUUGGCAAGUGAUGGAGGUGGGGCGUCAAAUGGGAGUUAUGUGAAGACGAGCCCUUUCAGCAGAGACUUGAACCUUAAAGACAGGAACUGCUAGCAAAGCAUAUUCCAAGCAGAGGGAACAAAAAUAUAAGGGCUUUGUUUCCCCAGUCCUAAAAAGCUUUUCUGUUUCUUGCGCAUUUUUCAAGACAAGCCCACGUGGUCUUGCUAAUCAUUUUCUUCCUUCGGGUGGGGGGAGGGGCGGGGGGCUUCGGCACAUCUGCUUUUUUUCUUCAUUCCAGCCCUUGUAAGUGACAAUGUGGCAACAGGCUGUGGGGUGUUCCCCACCGAGACCUCCUCCAUUCCCUUGGGUCCAUGGCACCAAGCAGAGGACCCCACAAAGCUUCCAGGAAAUACCUGGAACGCAAACUUCUGUUUGGGCGCACGCCUUUUAUGUCCUGGCUGAAUAUGAAACCAUUCCACACCACAUAAAAGACUUGAUAAGAGAUCAGCUAGCUAGCUGUUGGAACGAAGCAUCUUCAUGCUUCCAAAGUUCUCCUUAUCUUGUUUUAUUUGCCUCGUUUCUGUUUGGCACCAAGUGGAGGACGGGACAUGGGCAACACCUUACCAAAACAAUGAUUUCUUCCUGAAACGUCACCGGUUUCUGGAACUGGCUCUUGGCACCUGGUGGGGGACAUUUCAACCCCGGGAGGUAGAUAAAUUAUGUUUCAUGCUCUCAGGGCACAUCCCUGGCUUUCUGGGUCGCAGACACCUCCAAGAACACAGGAAUUAGACCACAGUUGACUCUUCUUGUGCCAAACAGCAGUGGCUGAACCACGGAGGCAGCUAGUUCCCUGGGACGGCUGUUUCUAAUUGCUGUUCCUCUCCACCGUUCUGGCUUUGUUUGGAGAGUAAAGAAAGUUUCUAAAUAUUUUGAACCCUGGGGUCCUUUGUGGCAUUCCCUGGUCUCUUCUCCUUUCACUGAAACAUAAAACAACCAGCGACUAUUUGCUUGUGUAGCCAUUUCCAUGUGUAUACACUCGGGAGGAUGGGGAUACAAUUCAACAAACUGGUUCCCUCUCAGCUUCUGUCACGUUCCUUCCGAUGUGAAAGGCUGAGGACCUAGAAACACUUGUUUGGAAGAUGCAAUCACCCCAGAUGGCUUAUCGCAAAGACGGAGCAUGAGAGAAAAGAUGCUGGCUUCACGUUCAAGUUCAACAAGGUGCAAUUAGAGCUCAGCGCUCUCCUCCCAUGUCCCUAAUAAGGUAUUUCUGGCAAAUGAUAAUUAAGUCAUGGCUUCGAGGCACUACGGUGUGACUCUUACAAAUGGGCCAACUCGAUUCGUCAAAAUCACGUUUAAGCAACGCUUUGAUCCCACCUGCAGCCCACACCUGUUUUGCGGGGCUGGGUGACCGGCGGGAGCGCGCAGGCUCAGUUCCGCCCACUGCCCCACCUUGCAUCGCGUUCACCGGCUGCCCCGGCCCGUGUGCCCUGACUUUGAUCUCCGGGCGUCGUGGAAGCCAUCGGCUGUGACAAGAGUUUUGGUUCGGCCUCACUGCCUUGGAAUGCAAGUCUCAAGGGUUCUGCCCCUGGAAAUUGGAUGACGAGGUGGCACACGUUCCAGGAGGGGAAAAGGUGAGAUUUUCUGGGAGAGGUACUGGCAGCAGGAAGAUUCAAUCUAGUCCCCAGACCUGGUUGUCCACAAAGGCAGAUAUGCCCUCACUGCUAAAGCAAGGAAGGAGCAUGAAGUUUUCAAAGCAAUUUGCCAAGAGUGUUCCUGGCCCCUCGUCCUGGAAAAAAGGUCUCGCCAUCUUCCCUCAAGGAUUCUUUGGACUUCAAAGAAGACUAUGAGUAGCUGGCAGGAGGAAUAGGCCCCAGAUGGAAAUGUUAUCAGCACCCACGUGUGCAUACCUCUGGAAAUGUUCACAUUUUAAAAUUGCAGAGUUAGCAUGCUCUGGUCACCUGUAGGGGCCCUCUUUGAGGCUCGGAGGAACAUCUGAAGGAAGAGGUUCAGAAGACACCCCGGUGUGAGCUGGUGAUGGAAGUCAGCCUUAGCUUUCUAUUUCCUUGUUUUCAUUAGCUUGAGUUACAAACCGAGACUUUAUUGAAUGCCCUUUUUGAUCCAUGUCUUGAAUUUGUCAGGAUCAUUUCAUGUGGCAGCAGGGGAGAAGCUGGCUGAGACCCAACAUAAAAGAUGCACCAUUCUGGUGGGAUAUGAUGGCUGGUUUUUUCUUUCCAAUUGAGAAGACCUCCUUGACCACACAUGGGUGGAAAAGACUCCUUGGACGCCAAAGAGGAGUCACGUCAAGCGCUUUUCCCUACCCAGAUGCCUUUUCGAGUAAAAUUCAUCUUGGCUAAGAAAUGCAUCUGCACGUGUGGAAAGAUACUGAGAUAUACCAAAUAUGGACUGUGAACCAGGUAAAUCAAAAUGGCCAAAGGAAACCUGGAAGAAAUGCCCCAUAAAAGUAAUUCGAACUGCCAUGAGGGUGCCACUCUCUCACCCUGAGUCUGCCCGUGUGUCUGUCCACACGUACUGUACUCUUUUUCCUUUUAAUAAAUACUAUACUUGUUUCCCUAC